CUGGACCACCACCUAUCACGUCGCAGACGCUCAACCAGUAUCCGGUCAAAUUACGGAGGACGGGGACCACUGUGAAAUACACCCAGCUCAGUAAGACCAUGGGCUCAAGUGACACAGAGCCCCGAGGUGUCUAAGACUCAUCAUCAGGUCAAGCUCUUCCUGGAGGGAGGGAGUCUGGAAACAGCGAAGAAUCUCAGGUAAAGGUGAUGGGACUGGGCUAGAGGCUCAUCUGUGAGAAAGAAAUGCCAGGGAGCGGCGCUGACGACAGGACGGGAGCUGGCGAGGGACUUACAGCCCAGUGGGCAGCGUCCAGGAUGCCAGAUAACAAAGUUGAAGAUAUUCUUAAUAUCGCCACAAGCAUUCCAAGAGAAGGGAUUCAGAAAAUGCACCAGGCCUCAGAGUCCAUUUAAGAAAACUGAGACAGGUUAAAGCCUCUGCCUUCGG